rnacentral:rRNA from 1 species
GAACGCUGGCGGCGUGCUUAACACAUGCAAGUCGAACGGAAAGGCCCUGCUUUUGUGGGGUGCUCGAGGGGCGAACGGGUGAGUAACACGUGAGUAACCUGCCCUUGACUUUGGGAUAACUUCAGGAAACUGGGGCUAAUACCGGAUAGGAGCUCCUGCUGCAUGGUGGGGGUUGGAAAGUUUCGGCGGUUGGGGAUGGACUCGCGGCUUAUCAGCUUGUUGGUGGGGUAGUGGCUUACCAAGGCUUUGACGGGUAGCCGGCCUGAGAGGGUGACCGGCCACAUUGGGACUGAGAUACGGCCCAGACUCCUACGGGAGGCAGCAGUGGGGAAUAUUGCACAAUGGGCGGAAGCCUGAUGCAGCAACGCCGCGUGCGGGAUGACGGCCUUCGGGUUGUAAACCGCUUUCGCCUGUGACGAAGCGUGAGUGACGGUAAUGGGUAAAGAAGCACCGGCUAACUACGUGCCAGCAGCCGCGGUGAUACGUAGGGUGCGAGCGUUGUCCGGAUUUAUUGGGCGUAAAGGGCUCGUAGGUGGUUGAUCGCGUCGGAAGUGUAAUCUUGGGGCUUAACCCUGAGCGUGCUUUCGAUACGGGUUGACUUGAGGAAGGUAGGGGAGAAUGGAAUUCCUGGUGGAGCGGUGGAAUGCGCAGAUAUCAGGAGGAACACCAGUGGCGAAGGCGGUUCUCUGGGCCUUUCCUGACGCUGAGGAGCGAAAGCGUGGGGAGCGAACAGGCUUAGAUACCCUGGUAGUCCACGCUGUAAACGGUGGGUUACUAGGUGUGGGGUCCAUUCCACGGGUUCCGUGCCGUAGCUAACGCUUUUAAGUACCCCGCCUGGGGAGUACGGCCGCAAGGCUAAAACUCAAAGGAAUUGACGGGGCCCCGCACAAGCGGCGGAGCAUGCGGAUUAAUUCGAUGCAACGCGUAGAACCUUACCUGGGUUUGACAUGGAUCGGGAGUGCUCAGAGAUGGGUGUGCCUCUUUUGGGGUCGGUUCACAGGUGGUGCAUGGCUGUCGUCAGCUCGUGUCGUGAGAUGUUGGGUUAAGUCCCGCAACGAGCGCAACCCUUGUUCACUGUUGCCAGCACGUUAUGGUGGGGACUCAGUGGAGACCGCCGGGGUCAACUCGGAGGAAGGUGGGGAUGACGUCAAGUCAUCAUGCCCCUUAUGUCCAGGGCUUCACGCAUGCUACAAUGGCUGGUACAGAGAGUGGCGAGCCUGUGAGGGUGAGCGAAUCUCGGAAAGCCGGUCUCAGUUCGGAUUGGGGUCUGCAACUCGACCUCAUGAAGUCGGAGUCGCUAGUAAUCGCAGAUCAGCAACGCUGCGGUGAAUACGUUCCCGGGGCUUGUACACACCGCCCGUCAAGUCAUGAAAGUUGGUAACACCCGAAGCCGGUGGCCUAACCAAAGUGGGGGAGCCGUCGAAGGUGGGACUGGUGA